GGGCCGUUAGCUCAGCUGGGAGAGCGCUUGAAUGGCAUUCAAGAGGUCAGCGGUUCGAUCCCGCUACGGUCCA
rnacentral:tRNA from 1 species